rnacentral:rRNA from 1 species
GUCGACGCGUGUCCAAUACACGGAUGGCGCACGGGUGAGUCAACGUGGAUAUCUGCCUUUUGGUUCGGGAUAACCCUGGGAAACUAGGGCUAAUACCGCAUGGUUCCUACGGGAUAAAGAUUUAUCGCCAAAAGAUGAGUCCGCGUCCGAUUAGCUAGUUGGUGGGGUAAUGGCCCACCAAGGCGACGAUCGGUAGCUGGUCUGANAGGACGAUCAGCCACACUGGGACUGAGACACGGCCCAGACUCCUACGGGAGGCAGCAGUGGG